rnacentral:pre_miRNA from 1 species
GUAGUAUUCCCUUCGUCCCAAAAUUCUUGUCUUACAUUUGUUUAGAUACAGAUGUAUCUAACACUAAAAUGUAACUAGAUACAUCCGUAUUUAGACAAAUUUAAGACAAGAAUUUUGGGACGGAGGGAGUAAAAA